rnacentral:rRNA from 1 species
UACGUAGGGUGCGAGCGUUGUCCGGAAUUAUUGGGCGUAAAGAGCUCGUAGGCGGUUUGUUCACGUCUGCUGUGAAAUCCCCGAGGCUCAACCUCGGGCCUGCAGUGGGUACGGGCAGACUGGAGUGCGGUAGGGGAGAAUGGAAUUCCUGGUGUAGCGGUGGAAUGCGCAGAUAUCAGGAGGAACACCGGUGGCGAAGGCGGGUCUCUGGGCAGUAACUGACGCUGAGGAGCGAAAGCCAGGGGAGCAAACGGG